AAAGUAGUGUGCAGCCAAGGAUGACUUGCCGAUUUAAAAUAUCUGAUAAGUAUUUUAUUUCGUAUUUUAAAGAAAAAAAAUCAUGAUCGGCAAGUCGUCCUUGGCUAUACGUUUCUUUGU
rfam:Brassica oleracea var. oleracea cultivar TO1000 chromosome C5, whole genome shotgun sequence